CCGGCCGACGGGGGGGACGCGCCAGCAGAGCGGGGCGGGCGGGCUCCGUUCUCCCCGCCGCCAUCGGGCCUCCAGACGCCCCGCGCCGCCCUGCCGCUUUCAGAGCGGGGCUCCAGAGUUCCCGUUCAUCUUCUCUUGAGCGACCAUGCAUUAGAUGCUGUCCUUGGGGCUGAGGUAGUAGAUUGAAUAGUUGUGGGGUAUGUGCCCUCCCUCUGAGAUAACUAUGCAAUCUACUGUCUUUCCUAAGGAGACAGUCACAUCAUCCGCAAGACAGCAGAGAGGAACCGCACUGACACUGAGAGGAGAGCUAGGAUUUGAAACAGCUGGUAGCUGGUUGACCAGUUCAGACCAGCUCCAUACGCAACAUGGUUUGACAAGCUCAAGCUAGGUUUUGAAACAGCUGGAAGCUGGUCAUUUCAAGCUGGUCAUAGGCUAGAGUUUACACCAGGGUCAUCUGUCCUCUAAGCCAAGCCGUACAAGACACAUUGCAUCAGGAGGUACUGUCUUUGUUUUAGAAAUGGUUGUAAUUGUGACAAACUAAAUGAUUAAUUUGGGUAGACAUUAUUUUUCCGAUGGUUCACCCCACAGUAGGUAGAGUAGUUACUGUACAUUACAUUACAUUACAUUUUAUUUAGCAGACACUUUUGUCCAAAGAGACAUACAAAACAGUGCAUUUCAAGGUCAUACAACAAAUAACCAAACACUCCAGAAAAGUUACGAUUCACAUAGGAUUGGUUGUAAAGUCAUGAACAUAUGUCCAGUUCACAAGAUACAAAGGCCAAGUCUGUAACAACCAUAGCAAGACAACUACAACUUGAAGCUGUAACUGUCCAUCGAUAAAGAUCUGCAUCCCCGCCCAAAGAGUUGGGCUGUAUUGCAGGCCGGAGACCUGCCGUGCCCUUUCGAGAUGAGGUAGUAGGUUGUAUAGUUUGUUGGGUGGGAUCGCACCCUAUUCAGGUGAUAACUAUACAGUCUAUUGCCUUCCUCGCGAGGCACACUGGCUCCAGGUGUGCUGAGAAACCAGGAAGUGGAGGAGCACCUCGGGGUAAAGCAUUGUUUCACCGAGCCGACAAGCCAACACUUCAAGGUCAAAAGUGGGAAUUUCAUCCUGUCAUACAAUAUGUUUUCUGGAACAUUCUUCACGUAUUUUAACUAGCACUGCGAGUAACGCUUCUCACACAAAUAGCACGAGGAUUGAAAGGAAUGAAGCGACUGCUUGUGUUUUUAAAUUAAUACAAAAUUGUCAUUGUUUAUCACCUUGCUUAAAUGUUUUGGAUGAGGAGAAACUUAAAUAAAAUAAAUGUCAGGAUCUAUUGGAUAGAUUUGCAUUUGCUUUGUAAAAUCUGUCAUGUUCACACUAUUAUAAUUUACAGUUUACAAUUUAAUCAUUUGAGAGAUUCUGGUAGCAAAAGCAACUUUGUUGUACAUGAUAAGGAAACAAUUAUAAUAAUGCCACUGUCAUUGUGCAUGUCUCAACACUGGUGAAAUAAAUGAAGAGAAUGGC